rnacentral:SRP_RNA from 1 species
GCCAGGUAUGGCAGUGUGUGCCUGUGGUCCCAGCUACUCAGGAGGCUGAGGCAGGAGAAUUGCUUGAGUCCAGGGGUUCUGGGCUAUGGGGUCCUAUGCCUUUCCACACUGUUUGGCAUCCAUAUGGCAACCUCCUGGGAGCAGGGGACCACCAGAUUUCCUAAACAGGCGUAAACUGGCUGGCCCAGGUCAGAAAUGGAGCAGGUCAAAACGCCUGUGCUGAUCAGGCGUGGCACUGCUCCUGGGGUCAGCCACGGCACGCCAGGUUGGGCAACACAGCAGGACCUUGUCUCA